rnacentral:lncRNA from 1 species
UAUAUAUGAAGUUUAUACCAUGUAUAUAUCAUAUACACAUAUAUAAAAAUACAAACUAUAAAGAAACAUACUAAGCAUAUUUAUAUAUUUCUGGUAUAUGAUAUAAUAUACCAUAAAUAUGCAAAGCAUGUUUUACAUAGAAAUAAUUUAUUCACGCACAGUAAAAUCUUUCAUGUAUAAGAAAAUUAAAGAAAUAAAUUAGCGGCACCCUAAAAUUUAAU